GUGCUUGCUUGGGCAGCACAUACACUAAAAUUAGAACAAUACAGAGAAGAUCAGCAUGAUCCCUGUGCAAGGAUAACACACAAAUUUGUGAAGCAUUCCAUAUUUUU
rnacentral:snRNA from 1 species